rnacentral:rRNA from 1 species
AACACAUGCAAGUCGAGGGGCAGCAUGACCUAGCAAUAGGUGAUGGCGACCGGCGCACGGGUGAGUAACACGUAUCCAACCUACCGGUUAUUCCGGGAUAGCCUUUCGAAAGAAAGAUUAAUACCGGAUAGUAUAGCGAGAAGGCAUCUUCUUGUUAUUAAAGAAUUUCGAUAACCGAUGGGGAUGCGUUCCAUUAGUUUGUUGGCGGGGUAACGGCCCACCAAGACAUCGAUGGAUAGGGGUUCUGAGAGGAAGGUCCCCCCACAUUGGAACUGAGACACGGUCCAAACUCCUACGGGAGGCAGCAGUGAGGAAUAUUGGUCAAUGGACGAGAGUCUGAACCAGCCAAGUAGCGUGAAGGAUGACUGCCCUAUGGGUUGUAAACUUCUUUUAUAUGGGAAUAAAGUGAGCCACGUGUGGCUUUUUGUAUGUACCAUACGAAUAAGGAUCGGCUAACUCCGUGCCAGCAGCGGC